rnacentral:rRNA from 1 species
GACGAACGCUGGCGGCGUGGAUUAGGCAUGCAAGUCGAACGGUAGGAUACCUUCGGGUAUCUGAGAGUGGCGAACGGGUGAGUAACACGUAGGUGAUCUACCCUCAAGAUUGGGACAACCCAGGGAAACUUGGGCUAAUACCGGAUGAAAGCAGCAGUGAUGUUGUUUGAAAGGUGGCGUAAGCUGCCGUUUGGGGAUGAGCCUGCGCUCUAUUAGUUAGUUGGCGGGGUAAAGGCCCACCAAGGCGAUGAUAGAUAGGCGGCCUUAACGGGUGGUCGCCCACACUGGGAUUGAGAUACGGCCCAGACUCCUACGGGAGGCAGCAGUCGAGAAUAGUCUACAAUGGCCGAAAGGCUGAUAGUGCGACGCCGCGUGAACGAAGAAGCCCUUCGGGUGUAAAGUUCUUUUAUUAUGUGAGCAGUGCUUUCUAUGUGAACAGCAUGGGGAGAGAGAUAUUAGCAUAUGAAUAAGCAACGGCUAACUCCGUGCCAGC